GGGGGUUGGCGCAAUUAGUAGCGUGUCCGUCUCCAAAACGGAAGGUUGUGUGUUCAAAUCACUCACCCCUCA